rnacentral:hammerhead_ribozyme from 1 species
AUACUAAUGAAGAGUCCCAAACUAGGACGAAACAGUUGUCCAGUAC